GAUCCUGGCUCAGGACGAACGUUGGCGGCGCGCCUAACACAUGCAAGACGAACGAGAGAUGAGGAGCUUGCUCUUCAAAUCGAGUGGCGAACGGGUGAGUAACGCGUGAGGAACCUGCCUCAAAGAGGGGGACAACAGUUGGAAACGACUGCUAAUACCGCAUAAGCCCACGGCUCGGCAUCGAGCAGGGGGAAAAGGAGCAAUCCGCUUUGAGAUGGCCUCGCGUCCGAUUAGCUAG
rnacentral:rRNA from 1 species